GGGUCAAGUCGCUCUUGCUACGCAUCCUCAGACGAGCUUUCCUCUCGUUAUGAAUUAUGGGAGUUGUGGAUAAUGCUCCAUUGAGAGACUGUCUUUGGUGGCUUAAACUCGGGAACCGGAAUUUAGAAUGCCCAGACACAACCAAUCCCAGCCUUUGGUGCGGUGACGUCUCUGGUAGCUAGGUGGAUUCGCUCAGAGCCAGCCCCGCCCGGCAGGUGGACCGCGCGCCCCCUAGAGCCUGGAGCGUCCCUCUCCCGGGCGGUCGGGCUGCGGACCAAGCUCAGGCCAACUGAACUCUGUUCUGUUCAGCCCACUGUCUGUGCUCCCUGGAAAGGAGAAUCUUGAAGCAGAACCCAUUCUCAAUCAAUACCAAGGAUGGGAUGCAGAGGACAGAGGGCUGAUGGGGAGUUGGACAAAGAGUGGCAGAGGAAAGCAGCGAGCCACCAAGUGGGGAGCAAGAAGAACUGCAAAAUUUCAUGGUCUUGCUAAUGAGGACUCCUACAGUUUGCAAGCUGCCUAUCUAUACUGUGUAUGGUACUGGGGAUUGGACUGGGGGAGCAGGGAGAGGCUUUACUGCUGAGCUACAUCCUAAGCCCUUUUUGAGACAGGGUAUCACUAAAUUGCCCAGGCUGUCCUUAAACGUACAAUCCCCUGCCUCAGCAGCUAAAGUAGCUGGGAUCACAGGUGUACCCUGGCUUGUUACACUUGUAGUUAAUGCACUUCCAUGCCAAUCUUAAGAACUGAUAGCUCACUCUGGGGCUCCAGUGGAAAGAGAACAGCUCAGGAAAUAAAAAUGUCUGCUGCUGCCCAGGCCUUGGUGCUGCAGAAAGAAA